AUAAAUCUUAUGAAGUAUCGAACGGAUACACUGUACACACAGAGUCAUGCAUCCAACUUCAACUUUUCCAGUUCUGAUAGAUGCCCACUCUGUGCAAAUACGGACAGCAUUUAUCACGUUCUGCUUAGGUGUACCAACCCAACAAUGAGUGGGAUGCACACCAACAGACACCAUGCGGCCCUUAGUCUCUGUGUAGAAGCCCUGAGUAAAGGCCG
rnacentral:lncRNA from 1 species